rnacentral:rRNA from 1 species
GACAUAGGUGGCGAACGUUAUCCGGAAUUAUUGGGCGUAAAGGGUGCGUAGACGGUCUAGUAAGUUAGCGGUGGGAAAUCGAGGCCUAACCUCGUGGAAGUUGUUAAUACUACUAGACUCGAGUGCAGGAGAGGUUAACGGAACUCCAUGUGGAGCGGUAAAAUGCACAGAUAUAUGGAUGAACACCAAUAACGGCGAAGGCAGUUAACUAUUCUGUUACUGACGUUGAGGCACGAAAGCGUGGGGAGCGAAAAGG